GAGCAAAAGACCCUGUCUCACUGUCAUGCUUGUUUUCCUGUAGUCCCGCAGGUUGCUGCAGCGCUGCCAGAUCUGCCGGGGAUUUGGCUGCUGAAUGAGAGACUGAGGCUUAGGGAAGGGCUGACAAUGGGUUCCAAACCUACACAGCAUUCUAGCAGGGCCUUCAGAAAGCACUAGUGACUUGCAGGGGACGAAAAACUAGAAACUACAGAUGAAAAAGCGCAGCAAAUGCUUUGGGGAGCAGAGAGAAAAGGAACCCGCAUUCUGCCCAGCACAGAUCUUUUGGACACGAAUUUUGUGUCACGCGCGGCUGCAGGUCAGGCUGGCGAGCACAAGCAGCACUGUGACAUAUGGCAAGGAACAGUUUAAAGCCGUGGCUGCUCCCACCCUGCUCAGACCCAGUUUGCAGGCGGGAGGUGCGGAGGCUGCUCCUGCAUGGGCUGAGUGAGCUGUUGGCAGGGUUCGAUCAGUCUGCCUCGCUGCAGGAUUUUCUGCUUUGCUGUGGAAAUGUACCAGGACACAUUCAAGUUCAGUCUGGCUCCAAAAGGACGUUCUUCAAAACUGGAUUGAUGGGCUCCUCUUUCCUGACCAUCACAGGAAUUCACUACAAAUAUUUACCAUCUGCAUCUCUGCUCCCCCUAUUGAAUAUACUUUGGUUCCUUAAACCGAUUAUGUAGAUAUUUCACAGUGUCAUAAAAAGCAGAAAGAGCACAGAAUAUUGCACAAGUGAUUCAUUCUGAUAAGCAUGCAAAGAACU